GAUGAACGCUGGCGGCGUGCCUAAUACAUGCAAGUCGAGCGAACAGACGAGGAGCUUGCUCCUCUGACGUUAGCGGCGGACGGGUGAGUAACACGUGGAUAACCUACCUAUAAGACUGGGAUAACUUCGGGAAACCGGAGCUAAUACCGGAUAACAUGUUGAACCGCAUGGUUCAACAGUGAAAGACGGUCUUGCUGUCACUUAUAGAUGGAUCCGCGCCGCAUUAGCUAGUUGGUAAGGUAACGGCUUACCAAGGCAACGAUGCGUAGCCGACCUGAGAGGGGGAUCGGCCACACUGGAACUGAGACACGGUCCAGACUCCUACGGGAGGCAGCAGUAGGGAAUCUUCCGCAAUGGGCGAAAGCCUGACGGAGCAACGCCGCGUGAGUGAAGAAGGUCUUCGGAGCGUAAAACUCUGUUAUUAGGGAAGAACAAAUGUGUAAGUAACUAUGCACGUCUUGACGGUACCUAAUCAGAAAGCCACGGCUAACUACGUG
rnacentral:rRNA from 1 species